rnacentral:rRNA from 1 species
UAUUGCACAAUGGGCGCAAGCCUGAUGCAGCCAUGCCGCGUGUAUGAAGAAGGCCUUCGGGUUGUAAAGUACUUUCAGCGAGAAGGAAGGCGAUAAGGUUAAUAACCUUGUCGAUUGACGUUACUCGCAAAAGAAGCACCGGCUACCUCCGUGCAAGAAGCCGCGGUAAUACGGAGGGUGCAAGCGUUAAUCGGAAUUACUGGGCGUAAAGCGCACGCAGGCGGUCUGUCAAGUCGGAUGUGAAAUCCCCGGGCUCAACCUGGGAACUGCAUUCGAAACUGGCAGGCUAGAGUCUUGUAGAGGGGGGUAGAAUUCCAGGUGUAGCGGUGAAAUGCGUAGAGAUCUGGAGGAAUACCGGUGGCGAAGGCGGCCCCCUGGACAAAGACUGACGCUCAGGUGCGAAAGCGUGGGGAGCAAACAGG